rnacentral:rRNA from 1 species
GACAGAGGAUGCAAGCGUUAUCCGGAAUGAUUGGGCGUAAAGCGUCUGUAGGUGGCUUUUUAAGUCCGCCGUCAAAUCCCAGGGCUCAACCCUGGACAGGCGGUGGAAACUACCAAGCUGGAGUACGGUAGGGGCAGAGGGAAUUUCCGGUGGAGCGGUGAAAUGACGUAGAUAUCGCUUGGAACGCCGAAGGUGAAAACAGGCUGCUGGGGUUGCGCCGACGCUGAGACACGAAGCCAGGGAGCAACGGAAUAGAACCGAGUAGUCCAAGACGAUGUACCGUCGUGCU